CACUUCUAAAGAUUAAUACAUUAUAGACUAUUGAAAAAGUAGUGAAGACAACAAAGUACUAAAUUAACAAACUUCUUACUUCUUCUUACCACUUACCUCAUCUCCAAAUAUUAAUCUUUCAAAUUUAUGGAUUGUAGCAUCAAUUUCAUAAGUUCUUUAUCCCCCCCCCCCCUUUUUUUAAUCAAUUAACAAAAACGUAUCCUGCUCUAAUAACAUGAUCUUUUGUUGAUGUUGUCUAUGACAUCCUUCAAGUACCAUAAAUCAGGGGAACUGAACAAGUGGGAGAAAAUUCAUGGAAAUUAAGGGACUUAAGGUCCAGGAAAGAGGAUAUUUAGAGAGCUGGGUUUAUUUAGUUUAAAGGUGUGAAGACUGGAAGGGAGACUUAACAAUCUUCCAAUAUGCAGAAGGCUGCUGCUGUGAAGAGUAGAACAAUGUAAUCUAUAUGACCACUGUGGAAAAACUGAGAUGUAAUUAACUUAGAUUUCAUCAGAUGAGGUGUCAUUUGGGGACUAGCAAAAACUUAAAUGUAGGUAAGCAUGGGAAUAAAUGGAUUAAAAAGAACGUGGGAUCACACAAACAUUGAAGAAGGUUAUGAAAAAAAAAUGUUUCUGCCUAGAACUAGUUAGGUAUAGCAUCAAGGUUCCUCCCAGCCAAAUUUUCUCCGGUUCAAUGAGAAGUGUUUGGAAAAAUAGGGAAAAACUUUACUGCUGUAACAUUAAAGAAAAAUGAUGCAAAUAAUUUAAACUAUUUUACUGCAGAACAUUUUAGACCAUUCUGGAAUUACAUGAGGAAGUGGUAAAGGGAAGCAUGAGAGAGACCAGACUGGUUUCCACUCUAGGCGUUGUCAAGCAGAUUUACACUGUCAGGCUUCUCAGUUAAGAGAACUUUUGUCAGCCUCCCCUAAGUUAUUCCUUGUGAUUUUCAGAAGGGAUUUUGGUUGUCUGUUUGACAGCCUUCACCAUGAUUCACUCCUGAAUAUCAACGUGUGUUGUGUCUUGAAAACAAAAGGAUUAAUUCCCAGCCCAGUUCAAAGACCCAGUCUUUUUCUUCUAGUUGCCUCCAUUGUCUGACUACAGGACACCCAAAAGACUACAUGAAACACUAUGGUGAAAAUCAUGGCUAAGAGCUAAUACUUCAGGCUUCAGAGUACUAUGGCAUGCAAGAAAGAUGAAGCUCAUCCAAACAUACUUGUCAGCUGUCUUAUCACUGUGAAAUGAAUAUGCCAGAGAUCCAGGGAUCAUGAAAAUCUUGUCACUUUCCAGGCCAUGUUACAAAAUAAGUUGGUUGGUUUGUUUGGGUUAUUCGUAACUAUAAUUUUCAAAUACAUAUGUGUGCAUAUACAGA